GACGAACGCUGGCGGCGUGCUUAACACAUGCAAGUCGAACGGAAAGGCCCUGCUUUUGUGGGGUGCUCGAGUGGCGAACGGGUGAGUAACACGUGAGUAACCUGCCCUUGACUUUGGGAUAACUUCAGGAAACUGGGGCUAAUACCGGAUAGGAGCUCCUGCUGCAUGGUGGGGGUUGGAAAGUUUCGGCGGUUGGGGAUGGACUCGCGGCUUAUCAGCUUGUUGGUGGGGUAGUGGCUUACCAAGGCUUUGACGGGUAGCCGGCCUGAGAGGGUGACCGGCCACAUUGGGACUGAGAUACGGCCCAGACUCCUACGGGAGGCAGCAGUGGGGAAUAUUGCACAAUGGGCGGAAGCCUGAUGCAGCAACGCCGCGUGCGGGAUGACGGCCUUCGGGUUGUAAACCGCUUUCGCCUGUGACGAAGCGUGAGUGACGGUAAUGGGUAAAGGAGCACCGGCUAACUACGUG
rnacentral:rRNA from 1 species